rnacentral:rRNA from 1 species
GACGAACGCUGGCGGCGUGCCUAAUACAUGCAAGUCGAACGAGAGCGACCGGUGCUUGCCCUGGUCAAUCUAGUGGCGAACGGGUGAGUAACACGUGGGUAACCUGCCCAUCAGAGGGGGAUAACAUCCGGAAACGGAUGCUAAAACCGCAUAGGUCCUCGAGCCGCAUGGCUUGAAGAGGAAAAGAGGCGCAAGCUUCUGCUGAUGGAUGGACCCGCGGUGCAUUAGCUAGUUGGUGAGGUAACGGCUCACCAAGGCCGUGAUGCAUAGCCGACCUGAGAGGGUGAUCGGCCACAUUGGGACUGAGACACGGCCCAAACUCCUACGGGAGGCAGCAGUAGGGAAUCUUCCGCAAUGGACGCAAGUCUGACGGAGCAACGCCGCGUGAGUGAAGAAGGUUUUCGGAUCGUAAAACUCUGUUGUUAGAGAAGAACAAGUGCUAGAGUAACUGUUAGCGCCUUGACGGUAUCUAACCAGAAAGCCACGGCUAACUACGUG